UACGAAGGGGGCUAGCGUUGCUCGGAAUCACUGGGCGUAAAGCGCACGUAGGCGGCUUUCUAAGUCAGGGGUGAAAUCCUGGAGCUCAACUCCAGAACUGCCUUUGAUACUGGGAAGCUCGAGUCCGGAAGAGGUGAGUGGAACUCCGAGUGUAGAGGUGAAAUUCGUAGAUAUUCGGAAGAGCACCAGUGGCGAAGGCGGCUCACUGGUCCGGUACUGACGCUGAGGUGCGAAAGCGUGGGGAGCAAACAGG
rnacentral:rRNA from 1 species